CGUAUGUGGGGGUUUUGUUUUGGGCUCAGCUAUUGAGAAAUAUGGAUGUCACAUUAUCUGCAAUUCGUGGUACAAAUCAACAUGGAAGGGAUCUUAAUGCAAAUCGCAGUAUAGGCCUACCUCACGGAACGGAAAAGAUUGUACUGUCUCUUAUUGCGUCCCUCGGGACUAUUGCUUGCCUAGCGGGUCUACUGUUCACGGUAUUGACUUACACCAUGUUCAGGAAUCUGCGCCAAGAAGUUCCAUCCAAGAUAUUGCUGAAUCUGUGUGUGGCUCUCUUUCUAACACAUUUCAUUUUUGUUGUUGGUGUGCAGGAAUACAUAUUCAAGGAUGACAUUGCUUGUAUGAUUGUUGGCGUACUGAUGCACUAUUUCAUUUUGUCGGAGAUGGUGUGGAUGGCGGUGGACGCAAUGACGAUGUUCUUCUCGAUCGUCGUCGUCUACACGACAGAGACUCGCCAUCUCAUCUUCAAAGGCGUGUGCUUCGGAUGGGGUUUACCCUUGAUGAUCGUAGGAUUAUGCGUUGCUUAUGGACUGGCGCGCGGCUAUGGAUUGCCUGCAAAAGAAAUUUGUUGGGUCACGGAUGCACAGUUCUACUAUAAUUUCAUAAUACCGGUGGCCUUAAUCCUGAUGACGAACUGCAUCGUGAUUGCCAUUGUCCUGAACGCCACGUUUAGGGAAUCGGGAAAGGCGACCCUUAACCGGUUUGCCAAGGCCCAAAUACGCACCCGCCUGCAAGGGUCGGCCAUCAUCCUCCUCCUUCACAGUCUCACCUACGUGUUCGUCAUACUUGCCGCCGAGCAAGGCAGCGGCGUCGUCUUCUACUACCUCUUCACCAUAUCCAACUCGCUGCAGGGUCUGGUCAUCUUCGUGUUCUACUGUCUGCUUCAGAAGGACGCACGUGACGCUUGGAAAGCGAAGCUGGGAUACCGCACGCGGAAGCAAUCGUUAUACCCCGAUGCAAGCCAUAUCAUCAGCAGAACACCAAUUGUCUCACCUCAAACUAGUACUCGGGAGGAGCCUGGGGAGCAGUCUAAUCUAGUAUUUGACAACACCAGCGUUAAGAGGACAAAGAUUAUUUCAGAGGACAGCAUAUAACAACGCUGUGGUGCAGAAGAAACAAGGACUGUCAAAUAAAACAUUGUGUGCGUGUGUGGGUUUUUUUUCAAGUAUUUGUCAACAACAAAUGGAUGGAUUUAUUUGGAAAUUGCAGGGACCAGUCAGCAAAAUGAAUGAAUUAAUGUUUAACGACACCCCAGCACAAGAAAAUACAUCGGCUAUUGGGUGUCAAACUAUGGUAAUGGGAAUUUUUUUUUUUUUUUUUUUUUUCUCUUUCACAAUUUAGACCAAUAGUCCAGUCUGUAAGAUAAAAUGAGCUGUUUUUUCCAGUUCGCCUCUCUUUCCAUAGAGUUUGGUGUGUAUGGCAGUUUCGAUUGGCCACUCAGCUUGUCUCAGGUCUUGAUGAAUUGGACACGCCUGUAAGAUGUGUUCUGCUGUUUGGUCUUCCAGGCCACAACUGCAGGUUGGUGUUGCUGCAAGUUUAAACUUUCUGAACAUGUGAGCAUUCAGUCGGUUGUGGCUGUCCGGAGUCUCAACAGAGUUACUUGUUCCAAGCGACUGAGAAGGUGGUAAUCAUCUUGUUCUGUCC